rnacentral:rRNA from 1 species
GACGAACGCUGGCGGCGUGCUUAACACAUGCAAGUCGAACGGAAAGGCCCUGCUUUUGUGGGGUGCUCGAGUGGCGAACGGGUGAGUAACACGUGAGUAACCUGCCCUUGACUUUGGGAUAACUUCAGGAAACUGGGGCUAAUACCGGAUAGGAGCUCCUGCUGCAUGGUGGGGGUUGGAAAGUUUCGGCGGUUGGGGAUGGACUCGCGGCUUAUCAGCUUGUUGGUGGGGUAGUGGCUUACCAAGGCUUUGACGGGUAGCCGGCCUGAGAGGGUGACCGGCCACAUUGGGACUGAGAUACGGCCCAGACUCCUACGGGAGGCAGCAGUGGGGAAUAGUGCACAAUGGGCGGAAGCCUGAUGCAGCAACGCCGCGUGCGGGAUGACGGCCUUCGGGUUGUAAACCGCUUUCGCCUGUGACGAAGCGUGAGUGACGGUAAUGGGUAAAGAGGCACCGGCUAACUACG